UUCAAUGGCUUGCAAAACCCAUCAUCUCUUUCUCUUUUCACUCAUUUUCCUCUUCUCCCUCUCUUCAUUCACCAUCCAUGCCAACCUUAAUCUACACUCUUCAGACCUCAAUUCUCUCAACACUCUCCUUAAUGACCUUAAAGUCAACGGUCAACUUCAAACAAUAACAACCCACCCAUGUAACAAAGAGGGUGUUUUCUGUGAAAGAAGGAUCUCAAACAAUGAGAGUUAUGUCCUUAGAAUAACAAGGCUUGUUUUCAAGUCCAAAAAACUCAAUGGUUUUCUGUCUUCUUCUAUAGGAAACCUUACAGAACUUAGAGAACUUUCUCUUUCAAAUAAUCAUAUACUUGACUUUAUCCCACCCCAGAUUGUUAAUUGUACAAAACUUGAGAUUCUUGAUCUCAGAAAUAAUCACUUUUCUGGUGAAGUUCCAUCUGAAUUAUCCCAUCUCGUUCGCCUUCGAGUCCUCGAUGUCUCUUCCAAUAUUCUAUCAGGAGAUUUAAACUUCCUUAAGUAUUUUCCAAAUCUUGAAACUCUCAACCUUGCUGAUAACCUCUUCAUAGGAAGAGUUCCACCUUCUAUACGUUCCUUUAGAAAUCUUAGACACUUUAACUUCUCCGGGAACGGUUUUCUUGAAGGUUAUGUGCCCUCAGAUAGUGUUCCUAAACGUUACAAAUUCAUUGAGAGCUCAAAUGGUAGAAGAAAUGGUUCUGCACCUGCUCCAGAAUUCAGCAAGAGUAACUUGAUCACUGCUCCUUCUCCGGCUCCAUCGGGGGCGAAAAAACAUCGCCAUAAAUCAACCAAGAGAAAAGUAACUGGGUGGUUUGUUGGUUUUGUUGCAGGGUCAUUUGCAGGGACUAUAGCAGGGCUCAUAUUUUCUCUUAUGUUCAAGUUAGCUUUAGCUUUUUUCAAAAGUGGUGGAAAGAGUUCAGGUGGUCCUGCAAUUUAUAGUCCUCUGAUAAUCAAGAAAAAAGAGGACUUAGCUUUCUUGGAGAAAGAAGAUGGUUUGGCUUCAUUUCAACUCAUUGGAAGAGGUGGUUGUGGAGAGGUUUAUAAGGCUCAAUUACCAGGAAGUGAUGGCAAGAUAAUUGCCGUAAAGAAAAUUGUUCAGCCUUCAAAGGAAGCCGCGGAGUUGUCUGAAGAAGAUAGUAAGCUUUUGCAUACGAAAAUGAGACAAAUUCGAUCGGAGAUUAACACUGUCGGCCAAAUUCGCCACCGCAAUCUUCUGCCUCUGCUAGCUCAUGUGUCUAGGCCUGAUUGUCACUAUCUUGUUUAUGAAUACAUGAAGAAUGGAAGUUUACAAGAUGCGCUUAAUAAAGUUGAAUCCGGGGAAGGGGAGUUAGAUUGGUUGACAAGGCACAAGAUUGCUGUUGGUAUUGCAGCUGGCCUUGAAUACCUUCACUUGAGCCAUAGUCCGUCAAUAGCAUAUUUGAUAUCCUGCACACUUAUUUUUAUCUUUCACUCAAUAUACAAUUUUUUGUGAAAGAGAAUAAUAUAUAUGUAUUGUUAGUGUAAAGAUUUAUACACAACUAAUAUUCAUUUAUAUUACUUUUUCGAAAAGUUGAUGAUAAUAGAAAAUGAAUAUGAUAAAUGAUAACCGUGUAUAAAACUCUUAGAUUGUAUACAUUUUUUUUCCUAAAUGUGAAAUACAUAAAAAUUAAAAUAAAAGUGUCCUUUAUUCACAUAUCAUAAUCCUUAAGAAAAUAUGAGCACUAACCCUUUGCAAGAAAUUCCAAUCAAAAGGGACCCAAUUCCACAAGGUUUAUGACUAUAAAAAUUAAGAAAAGAAAAUAGGACUUUGAAGUUUCAAGCAACAAUACUAAGUCAUAUAUCCACCAUUACCAACAAAAUCUCACGACACUUGUUCUUCAAUGGCUUGCAAAACCCAUCAUCUCUUUCUCUUUUCACUCAUUUUCCUCUUCUCCCUCUCUUCAUUCACCAUCCAUGCCAACCUUAAUCUACACUCUUCAGACCUCAAUUCUCUCAACACUCUCCUUAAUGACCUUAAAGUCAACGGUCAACUUCAAACAAUAACAACCCACCCAUGUAACAAAGAGGGUGUUUUCUGUGAAAGAAGGAUCUCAAAC
rnacentral:lncRNA from 1 species